AACUUUUAGCAACGGAUCUCUUGGCUCUCCCAUCGAUGAAGAACGCAGCGAAAUGCGAUAAGUAAUGUGAAUUGCAGAAUUCAGUGAAUCAUCGGAUCUUUGAACGCACCUUGCGCCCUUUGGUAUUCCGAAGGGCAUGCCUGUUUGAGUGUCAUUAAAUUCUCAACCUCGCAAGCUUGCUUUGCCGAGGCUUGGAUGUGAGGGUUUUUGCUGGCUUCCUUCAGUUGGAUGGUCUGCUCCCUUUAAAUUCAUUAGUGGGAUCCUUUGUGGAGCGUCACUUGGUGUGAUAAUUAUCUACGCCUCUUGACCGAAGCAAGCCUUAUGGGAACCUGCUUAUAACCGUCCUUCAAGGACAAUUUAUUGACUAUUUGACCUCAAAUCAGGUAGGACUACCCGCUGAACUUAAGCAUAUCAAUAAGCGGAGGCU
rnacentral:misc_RNA from 1 species